rnacentral:rRNA from 1 species
UCUACGGGUGGCAGCAGUGGGGAAUAUUGGACAAUGGGGGAAACCCUGAUGGAGCGACGCCGCGUGAGCGAGGAAGUAUUUCGGUAUGUAAAGCUCUAUUAGCAGGGAAGAAAAAAGACGGUAGUAGACUAAGAAGCCCCGACUAACUACGUGCCAGCAGCCGCGGUAAUACGUAGGGGGCAAGCGUUAUCCGGAUGUACUGGGUGUAAAGGGAGCGUAGACGGUAAGGCAAGACUGAAGUGAAAGGGCAGGGCUCAACCCUGGACAUUCUUUGGGAACUGGGGUGCGAGAGUGCAGGAGAGGUGAGUGGAAUUCCUAGUGUAGCGGUGAAAUGCGUAGAUAUAUGGAGGAACACCAGUGGCGAAGGCGGCUUACUGGACUGUAACUGACGUUGAGGCUCGAAAGCGUGGGGAGCAAACAGGAUUAGAUACCCGAGUAGUC